rnacentral:rRNA from 1 species
UACAGAGGUCUCAAGCGUUUGUUCGGAUUCAUUGGGCGUAAAGGGGUGUGUAGGUGGCGCGCUAAGUCGGGUGUGAAAUUUCGGAGCUUAACUCCGAAACUGCAUUCGAUACUGGCGUGCUUGAGGACUGGAGAGGAGACUGGAAUUCAUGGUGUAGCAGUGAAAUGCGUAGAGAUCAUGAGGAAGACCAGUGGCGAAGGCGGGUCUCUGGACAGUUCCUGACACUGAGACACGAAGGCCAGGGGAGCAAACGGG